UACGAAGGGGGUUAGCGUUGUUCGGAAUUACUGGGCGUAAAGCGCGCGCAGGCGGUCCUUUAAGUCAGGGGUGAAAGCCCAGAGCUCAACUCUGGAACUGCCUUUGAAACUAGAGGACUUGGGUACGGGAGAGGUGAGUGGAAUGCCGAGUGUAGAGGUGAAAUUCGUAGAUAUUCGGCGGAACACCAGUGGCGAAGGCGACUCACUGGCCCGAUACUGACGCUGAGGCGCGAAAGCGUGGGGAGCAAACAGG
rnacentral:rRNA from 1 species